rnacentral:tRNA from 1 species
GCGCCUGUGGUGAAAUUGGCAGACACGCUAGACUUAGGAUCUAGUGCCGUAAGGCGUGGGGGUUCGACUCCCUCCAGGCGCACCA